AGCUCCAAUAGCGUAUAUUAAAGUUGUUGCAGUUAAAAAGCUCGUAGUUGGAUUUCUGGUUCGGCGCACUUGGCCCGUCUCGGUUUACGGGAUUGCGUGCCGGUGUGCGCCAUCCAUCCUUCGAGAGAACACUUCUACCCUCACGGGCUGGAGUGCUAUCUCGAUCUUUUACUUUGAAAAAAUUAGAGUGUUUAAAGCAGGCUUGCGCUAUGAAUACAUUAGCAUGGAAUAAUAAUUUAGGACUUUGGUCUUAUUUUGUUGGUUUCUAGGACUAAAGUAAUGAUUGAUAGGGACAGUUGGGGGUGCUAGUAUUCAGCGGCCAGAGGUGAAAUUCUUGGAUUCGCUGAAGACUAACUUAUGCGAAAGCAUUCACCAAGGAUGUCUUCU
rnacentral:rRNA from 1 species